ACAGUUUUCAACUAUCGAUACUAUCGAUAGUAUCCCAGCUCUAACACUUUCCCGAACUGCGGUAAAAUCUAAGUAUCUGGCGUACUGGCCACCUAAACAGCUCUAACUAAACCAACUUCAGUAAAACACUAUACAAGCUGUCUAAUUACCAGGAUGAAAACAACAUACAUAUGUAUAUAUUAAGAUGAGCCGACGCCAACUGGCACUAGCAAAAACGUUCAAUUUCAUUUGAGAAUUAUAAGAGUUUAAAAAAUGAAUCAGUAAAAGAGAGCUAACUACAAUGAAAAAAAUUUCAACAACAAUGCAACAAUACGAAAUAAAAACAAAAGUUUUACUCACCUUACCAUCAACACUGAUUCAAAUCAAAAUAUGCCUUUAAUUAAUUUAACUCUAACUGCCAAAAGACCGAUAACUCGAAAUGUUGUAAUGAUGUAGUG